rnacentral:rRNA from 1 species
GACGAACGCUGGCGGCGUGCCUAACACAUGCAAGUCGAGCGGAGUCGAUCGACGGAAGCCUUCGGGCGGAAGAUGGUUGACUUAGCGGCGGAUGGGUGAGUAACGCGUGGGCAACCUGCCUCGAAGACCGGGAUAACAGCCCGAAAGGGCUGCUAACACCGGAUGUGGUCAAGGAUCCGCAUGGAUUUUUGAUUAAAGGGGAAACCCGUUUCGAGAUGGGCCCGCGUCCUAUCAGCUAGUUGGUGAGGUAAAAGCUCACCAAGGCGACGACGGGUAGCCGGCCUGAGAGGGUGACCGGCCACACUGGAACUGAGACACGGUCCAGACUCCUACGGGGGCAGCAGUGGGGAAUCUUCCACAAUGGGCGAAAGCCUGAUGGAGCGACGCCGCGUGAGCGAAGAAGGCCUUCGGGUUGUAAAGCUCUGUCUGGAGGGACGAAGGAAGUGACGGUACCUCCGGAGGAAGCCCUGCUAACUACGUG